AGCAGUCGCCGCGGGAAAACGGAGGGUGCAAGCGUUAUCCGGAUUUAUUGGGUUUAAAGGGUCCGUAGGCGGAUCUGUAAGUCAGUGGUGAAAUCUCACAGCUUAACUGUGAAACUGCCAUUGAUACUGCAGGUCUUGAGUAAAUUUGAAGUGGCUGGAAUAAGUAGUGUAGCGGUGAAAUGCAUAGAUAUUACUUAGAACACCAAUUGCGAAGGCAGGUCACUAAGAUUUAACUGACGCUGAUGGACGAAAGCGUGGGGAGCGAACAGGAUUAGAUACCCCAGUAGUCCCUGUCUCUUAUAC
rnacentral:rRNA from 1 species